AUACGUAGGUGGCAAGCGUUGUCCGGAUUUAUUGGGCGUAAAGCGAGCGCAGGCGGUUUCUUAAGUCUGAUGUGAAAGCCCCCGGCUCAACCGGGGAGGGUCAUUGGAAACUGGGAAACUUGAGUGCAGAAGAGGAGAGUGGAAUUCCAUGUGUAGCGGUGAAAUGCGUAGAUAUAUGGAGGAACACCAGUGGCGAAGGCGGCUCUCUGGACUGAUACUGACACUGAGGCACGAAAGCGUGGGGAGCAAACAGGAUUAGAUACCCUGGUAGUCCACGCCGUAAACGAUGAGGGCUAAGUGUUGGAGGGUUGCCGCCCUUCAGUGCUGCAGCAAACGCAUUAAGCACUCCGCCUGGGGAGUACGACCGCAAGGUUGAA
rnacentral:rRNA from 1 species